rnacentral:snoRNA from 1 species
AACUUUGUCCAAAAGUAAUCCAUCACAUUAGACAGUGCAUCGUUAUGGUCUGGCGGACAUCUGUGGUUGCUGGGCAGUUUUUGCCUUGGCGGCCACGCCGAUAGCCGCUGACGCUUCUUGUAAUCGAGUGCGAUAGCUGAUGGAGAGAGAGACGUUUGAAUCUAUAAGAACUUGUCUGGAUCGCGAGAGCUGAAAGAGAGGUGUCAGAAGAUUCACACAUUA